rnacentral:rRNA from 1 species
UACGUAGGGGGCGAGCGUUGUCCGGAUUUAUUGGGCGUAAAGAGCUCGUAGGCGGUUGGGUAAGUCGGGUGUGAAAACUCAGGCUCAACUCUGAGACGCCACUCGAUACUGCCCUGACUCGAGUCCGGUAGGGGAGCGUGGAAUUCCCGGUGUAGCGGUGAAAUGCGCAGAUAUCGGGAGGAACACCAGUGGCGAAGGCGGCGCUCUGGGCCGGAACUGACGCUGAGGAGCGAAAGCGUGGGUAGCAAACAGG